rnacentral:rRNA from 1 species
UACAGGUGGAUGAGGAGAGAAUCCUAAGGCCGACGGAAGAAGCAUUGUUAAGGAAUUCGGCAAAAUGACCCCGUAACUUCGGGAGAAGGGGUGCCUGCGAGAGCAGGCCGCAGAGAAUAGGCUCAAGCAACUGUUUAGCAAAAACACAGGUCUAUGCGAAACCGAAAGGUGAAGUAUAUGGGCUGACGCCUGCCCGGUGCUGGAAGGUUAAGGGGAGAGGUUAGCGAAAGCGAAGCUUUGAAUUUAAGCCCCAGUAAACGGCGGCCGUAACAAUAACGGUCCUAAGGUAGCGAAAUUCCUUGUCGGGUAAGUUCCGACCCGCACGAAAGGCGUAAUGAUUUGAGCACUGUCCCGACAAUGCAUCCGGUGAAAUUGAAGUACCAGUGAAGAUGCUGGUUACCCGCGCCAGGACGGAAAGACCCCAUGGAGCUUUACUCCAGUUUGAUACUGGGAUUCGGUACUGCAUGUACAGGAUAGGUGGGAGACGGAGAAGGAUGGACGCCAGUCUGUCCGGAGUCGCUGUUGGGAUACCACCCCUGUAGUACUGGGUUUCUAACCAGUUACCAUGAUCUGGUAAUGGGACAAUGUCAGGCGGGGAGUUUGACUGGGGCGGUCGCCUCCGAAAGGGUAUCGGAGGCGCUCAAAGGUUCCCUCAGAAUGGUUGGAAACCAUUUGAAGAGUGCAAAGGCAGAAGGGAGCUUGACUGCGACACCGACGGGUGGAGCAGGUACGAAAGUAGGACUUAGUGAUCCGGUGGUAUAAAGUGGGAUUGCCAUCGCUCAACGGAUAAAAGCUACCCUGGGGAUAACAGGCUUAUCACUCCCAAGAGUUCACAUCGACGGAGUGGUUUGGCACCCCGAUGUCGGCUCAUCGCAUCCUGGGGCUGUAGCAGGUCCCAAGGGUUGGGCUGUUCGCCCAUUAAAGCGGUACGCGAGCUGGGUUCAGAACGUCGUGAGACAGUUCGGUCCCUAUCCGGCGCGGGCGGAGGAUAUUUGAGAGGAGCUGUCCUUAGUACGAGAGGACCGGGAUAGACGGACCACUGGUGUAUCUGUUGUCGACCAACGGCAUGGCAGAGUAGCCAAGUCUGGAAGGGAUAAACGCUGAAGGCAUCUAAGCGUGAAGCCCCCCUCAAGAUGAGAUAUCCCUCCUUCGGGAGUAAGACCCCUUGAAGACUACAAGGUAGAUAGGGCAGAGGUGGAAGCAUGGCAACAUGUGGAGCUGACUGUUACUAAUAGGUCGAGGGCUUAAUCAG